rnacentral:rRNA from 1 species
GACGAACGCUGGCGGCGUGCUUAACACAUGCAAGUCGAACGGAAAGGCCCUGCUUGCAGGGUACUCGAGUGGCGAACGGGUGAGUAACACGUGGGGGAUCUGCCCUGCACUUCGGGAUAAGCUUGGGAAACUGGGUCUAAUACCGGAUAGGAGCCAUCUUUAGUGUGGUGGUUGGAAAGUUUUUUCGGUGUAGGAUGAGCUCGCGGCCUAUCAGCUUGUUGGUGGGGUAAUGGCCUACCAAGGCGGCGACGGGUAGCCGGCCUGAGAGGGUGUACGGCCACAGUGGGACUGAGAUACGGCCCAGACUCCUACGGGAGGCAGCAGUGGGGAAUAUUGCACAAUGGGCGCAAGCCUGAUGCAGCGACGCCGCGUGGGGGAUGAAGGCCUUCGGGUUGUAAACUCCUUUCGCUAGGGACGAAGCUUUGUUGUGACGGUACCUAGAUAAGAAGCACCGGCUAACUACGUG